rnacentral:rRNA from 1 species
AGAGUUUUGAUCCUGGCUCAGGAUGAACGCUGGCGGCGUGCUUAACACAUGCAAGUCGAACGGAAAGGCCCAAGCUUGCUUGGGUACUCGAGUGGCGAACGGGUGAGUAACACGUGGGUGAUCUGCCCGCACUUCGGGAUAAGCCUGGGAAACUGGGUCUAAUACCGGAUAGGACCACUUCUUGGAGGUUGUGGUGGAAAGUUUUUCGGUGUGGGAUGAGCUCGCGGCCUAUCAGCUUGUUGUGGGGUAAUGGCCUACCAAGGCGUCGACGGGUAGCCGGCCUGAGAGGGUGUACGGCCACAUUGGGACUGAGAUACGGCCCAGACUCCUACGGGAGGCAGCAGUGGGGAAUAUUGCACAAUGGGCGCAAGCCUGAUGCAGCGACGCCGCGUGGGGGAGUGACGGCCUUCGGGUUGUAAACUCCUUUCGCUAGGGACGAAGCGUUAUGUGACGGUACCUAGAGAAGAAGCACCGGCUAACUACGUG